rnacentral:snRNA from 1 species
CUGUUAAGAACCACCGAAAUACUAAAAUUGGAAUGAUACAGAGAAGAUUAGCAUGGCCCCUGCACAUAGAUGACACGCAAAUUCGUGAAGAGGUCCAUAUUUUU